CUUCUCUCUAAAUAUCUCUCAUCUUACUUCAUUUGAUUUUCAAUCAGACUGAGCUUAAGUAAUUUUGGAGUCAAAGACAUCCUUUUCCACCGAUCAAAGUCUUGUUUAAAGCUGUUUAUCCUCAUCAAUCAGUGAGCUAUAGGUGUUCUUGGGAUUUUCUGGAAGUGUGAGCAAAUUUCUGGAAGGGUAGAAGAUUCCUGUUCGGUUAAGAGUGUGAGCUUAGGGAUACAGUCUUUUCAGUUGGAGCAGCUGAAGGGGGGAGGGAGUGCAACUGAUAGUAUAGGUAGUUAUUUUUGCUCUUCAGUUGAAAUUUUUAUUCACCAAAUUUGUAGUUUUGUUUUAUCAUUAUCCAUGUAAUGUUUCAUUUUAGUAAUUUUCUAUUACUAAAUUGGAAUGUUACGUU